CACGUAGGGUGCGAGCGUUGUCCGGAAUUAUUGGGCGUAAAGAGCUCGUAGGCGGUUUGUCGCGUCUGCCGUGAAAGUCCGGGGCUCAACUCCGGAUCUGCGGUGGGUACGGGCAGACUAGAGUGCAGUAGGGGAGACUGGAAUUCCUGGUGUAGCGGUGAAAUGCGCAGAUAUCAGGAGGAACACCGAUGGCGAAGGCAGGUCUCUGGGCUGUAACUGACGCUGGAGGAGCGAAAAGCAUGGGG
rnacentral:rRNA from 1 species